CAGGACUCGCAAGACUCCUACAACCCUGUGAACUUAACUAUAAGCACGUUGCUUCGGCGGGUGUCUCGGCGGAGGGUCCUCCACUGGGACCUGCGCAGGGGCGCGAAGCCCGCCGGCAGCCUACUAUACUCUGUCUCUUUGCGUUGGCAUCUCGAGUACAAAGCAAACAAGUUA
rnacentral:misc_RNA from 1 species